GACAGAGGGGGCAAGCGUUGCUCGGAAUUACUAGGCGUAAAGGGCGCGUAGGCGGGAUGGCAAGUCGGUCGUGAAAUCCCUCGGCUCAACCGAGGAGCGUCGGCCGAUACUGCCGUUCUUGAGGGAUGCAGAGGAGACUGGAAUUCCCGGUGUAGCGGUGAAAUGUGUAGAGAUCGGGAGGAACACCGGUGGCGAAGGCGGGUCUCUGGGCAUAUCCUGACGCUGAGGCGCGAAAGCGUGGGGAGCAAACGGG
rnacentral:rRNA from 1 species